rnacentral:rRNA from 1 species
UACGUAGGGUGCGAGCGUUGUCCGGAAUUAUUGGGCGUAAAGGGCUCGUAGGCGGUUCGUCACGUCGGGAGUGAAAACUCGGGGCUUAACCCCGAGCCUGCUUCCGAUACGGGCAGACUAGAGGUAGGCAGGGGAGAGCGGAACUCCUGGUGUAGCGGUGGAAUGCGCAGAUAUCAGGAAGAACACCGGUGGCGAAGGCGGCUCUCUGGGCCUUACCUGACGCUGAGGAGCGAAAGCGUGGGGAGCGAACAGG